AAAAGCCAAAUGAGUUUCUGUAAAAGAUUCGAAGUGUUAGAGUGCAGGAAGAAGGUUGAAAACCUAUGAACAAUGAGAUUAGAAUCGUAGGCAAGUGGCCAAUCAGGAAAAAGCUGACAGAGAUAAUACAUGGAAAUUUGCAUAUUACCCUUACGUGAUUUUAGACAAGGGAGUGCCAAGAUUUUUUACCUUAUAAAAGAGAUAACUGUUGCUGCAAAGUAGAGAUAUUGGAUAUUGGAUUGAGGGGGAACAAAACUAAAAAUGGGAAGUAGCAGGUGUUGAAAUAAUCUUGACAAGAAAUGACAAGAGCAUGAACUAAGGACCUGGGAAGGUUUCAUGCUUCUUUUUAUCAGACUCUGAAGUACCUGUACUUUGGUCAGAUCCCUCGAAGCCUAAUGAGCCUGUGGAGGAGCUGAGAUACUGGGUCGAGAUAAAUGGAAAUAUUUUCAGACUACGAGUUCCAGUCAGAGUAAAUGCUGAAAACGAACAAGAGUCUUCAAAUUGACAAUCUUCAGGGUGAGAAAGAAUAUACUUGAAGGGUGAGAUUUCAUUUCUACUACUCCUUAGAUUUGCUUCAUUUUCUCUGACAUUUUCUCACAGUCUACAGUGACAUCUGGUUGCUGCAGUGGUAACAAUGGUUCCUGAACUGAUCAGUUAAAUUGAGCAAGCCAGGCAUUGCUUUCAUUCACUUUCAAGUAACCCAGCUGGAGUCCGGCGGACCUCAUGAGAUUGCUGCUAUUACAAUUAUUAUUAUUGUUACUUUAUGUUAAAAGUCCU
rnacentral:lncRNA from 1 species